AGUUAAGUGACUAAGCGCACAAGGUGGAUGCCUUGGCAAUCAGAGGCGAGAAGGACGUGCUAAUCUGCGAAAAGCGGAUGAGUCGAUAAGAGGCGUUUAAUCAAGAUGUCCGAAUGGAAACCCAGUGGGUGAAGAACCUACUAUCACCCAGUGAAUACAUAGUAUUGAGGCAAACCGGAGAGCUGAAACAUCUAAGUACCCCGAGGAAAGAAAUCAACCGAGAUUUCGUUAGUAGCGGCGAGCGAACGCAGAAAGAGGCCAGUUAGUGAUAGCAGUAAAGUUAGGGGAAUGUUCUGGGAAGGACAAUCGUAGAGGAGUGAUAAUCCCGUACCUUAAAACUCCAUUGUGGUACUAGGCUAACAACAAGUAGGGCGGGACACGUGAUAUAUCCUGUUUGAAGAUGGGACCAUCCUCCAAGGCUAAAUACUCCUGAUUGACCGAUAGUGAACCAGUACUGUGAAGGAAAGGUGAAAAAGAACCCCGGCGAGGGGAGUGAAAUAGAACCUGAAACCUUGUGCGUACAAGCAGUGGGAGCAGAGUAAUCUUGUGACUGCGUACGCUUUUUGUAUAAUGGGUCAGCGACUUAUAUUUUGUAAGGUUAACUGAAUAAGGGAGCCGUAGGGAAAUAGUCUUAACUGGGCGUGUAGUUGCAAAGGUAUAGACCCGAAGCGGUGAUCUAGCCAUGGGCAGGUUGAAGGUUGGGUA
rnacentral:rRNA from 1 species